rfam:Pluralibacter gergoviae strain JS81F13 contig_1, whole genome shotgun sequence.
UCGAUCUCACUCCAGACCCUUUCCUUACGCCUGACCACGCGCACGUAAACGUUUGCCUUUACACACCCCGCACAACGGUUUUACGGUUGCGGUACGCCGGGAAAAUGACACAGGACGACAGGAGGGGGUCAAUGGCUGGUACGCUUUCAAAUUAGCGUGGAAUUUUGUCUGAUUCUGAGGGAAAGGGGAAGAGAAAAUUCUUCGCCGGGUGAAAACCAGCAAUAUUUUUGCAUAUUUUUUCGCAGACUUGUGCAAAAAUGAGCAAGCUCACUUUUGAUGUGGGGAUUACAAGGAGAAAAAUUGAUGAGUACCGAUCUGAAGUUCUCACUGAUGACGACCGUUAUUGCUUUGGGCCUGAUUGUCGCCACCGGUCUGACUGCCGUCCUGCAUUAAUCA